GCCUGGCCCCAGCCAACUGUGGUGCCUAUAAUAUCUUCUACUGGGGAGGCUGUGACUGGUGCAUCCCUUGAGCUCAGGAGUUCUGAGCUACAGUGGCCUGGACUGAUCAGAUAUCCAAACAAAGUUUGGCACUAAUAUGGUGAGCUGCUGGGAGUGGAGGUUUGCUAAGCUGCCUGAGGAGGAGGGAACAGGCCCAGGUCAGAACUGGAGCCAGUCAAAACUCAUGUGCCAAUCAGUAAUCCAUCUGUGAGUGACUGCUGCAUUUCCAGCCUAGGUGAGAUAGGGAGGCCCAGUUU
rnacentral:SRP_RNA from 1 species